AUUGAACGCUGGCGGAAUGCUUUACACAUGCAAGUCGAACGGCAGCACGGGGGCAACCCUGGUGGCGAGUGGCGAACGGGUGAGUAAUACAUCGGAACGUGCCCAGUCGUGGGGGAUAACGUAGCGAAAGUUACGCUAAUACCGCAUACGAUCUACGGAUGAAAGCGGGGGACCGUAAGGCCUCGCGCGAUUGGAGCGGCCGAUGUCAGAUUAGGUAGUUGGUGAGGUAAAGGCUCACCAAGCCGACGAUCUGUAGCUGGUCUGAGAGGACGACCAGCCACACUGGGACGGAGACACGGCCCAGACUCCUACGGGAGGCAGCAGUGGGGAAUUUUGGACAAUGGGCGCAAGCCUGAUCCAGCCACUCCGCGUGCAGGACGAAGGCCUUCGGGUUGUAAACUGCUUUUGUACGGAACGAAAAGGCUCUGGUUAAUACCUGGGGCUCAUGACGGUACCGUAAGAAUAAGCACCGGCUAACUACGUGCCAGCCGCCGCAGUAA
rnacentral:rRNA from 1 species